GAUCGUGUAACUCAAUAGGUAGAGUGUCUGCUCCACAAAAGCGUUGGCGGCAUUCACGCGUGGGUCCAAAUCCCACCGAGAUUG
rnacentral:tRNA from 1 species